GCAGAACGAUGAAAACACACGUUGCACAGAGCUAAGCCUAAGUGGUUCACAGCAAGGAAUGUGAAGGACUGGAGACUUUCCUGAAGGUGACCUUCCAAAGCCUCUCUCCUCACUGAUCUCACGCUAUGCUGGCACAGCGGGAGCUGAGCUCACCUCUCCACACAACUUCUGAUCCAGAAUCCUUCGUCACCGUGCAUAAGCUCCAAGUGGGAUGAAAGAUAGACCAAUAGAGAAAUGAGGGCACUGUACUGGUACAAGAAAUGUCUCUGGAGUCAUAAAUACAGUUAAGGAAACAUCUUCCACUCUGAAUUUGUCUAGUGAACAAUAUACAUAUAUUAUAUAUAAUAUAUAUUUUCCCCCUAGAAAUUCGGCUGUUCUUCCUUAUCUGUCUUACUGUUCUUUUCAACCAUUAAGUACUGCAGUGUGUUGUCAUUGUUCCCCACUGUAAAGAAAGGAGGGUUGCAAGUUGAUGAGCUGAUCAUUGCACGAGAUGACCUUCUUGGUCCUUUCCAUCUUUAAUAAUUCUAUGAGUCUAUGAAACCUACAGUGCUACUACCUGCUAGGUAAGCAACCCAGUGGGACUUGAGGUAAACUGACAAAGUUGUCCUGACUUCAGUUAUCUGAAAAGCCAGUAGAGCUCAUCAAGAGACUGUUAAUUUACAACAAGAUUGGCAGGAUAGAAAGCUGAAAUGAUGAAGAGUUCAACAAUACCUUGUGCUCAAGAGCUCAAACUCUGCAGUUCAGCUUCCCUUCCAGAUCAGGUGCCUGCUUUUAGUACCUCAUUCUGUCCUCUAGUCUAUAUAGAUUGGGUUUUCCUUUCACUAAAAUUAAGUGAAAUGCUGAAGAAGAUGGAUGAUGAUGUCCACUGUCAUGACAUUCCAGACUGAGGUUGCAUUAUGGGUAAGAUCUAUGUCUGGAGCUCAGAUGCACUCCAAUGUUUGAAUGAAACCAAUACUCCUGAGAGAGAUCUGAAACUGAAACUGGUUUUCAGAGUCUGGGAGAGAUUUGGGUAUAAAGACAAGGCUGGGCACCAGGAGGUUGGUAUACCAUGAAGGCUAUUAUCACUAUUUCUAUCUGAAGAAGAAUUAGGGUUUCUUCUUCUAACAGCUGUCCAGUGAAGAAAUGUUAGCAUUAUUCCAUUUGGUAUUUAGUCUGGGUACUGUUCAUAGGAUCUCAAUCCACAAUUUGGGAUAUGCCUUCUAACAACCUUCACAAAAAUAUAGCAGUCUGAUGUUUGGAAAAAAAAGAAACAGAUACAAGCCAGACAAACUAUACUUGGAGCAGUGUUGAAAGAUGCUGUGCUCAGCAAAGCAUGAAAGCAGAUACUGAUCAGUGAGUUUAAAGGGAGAAAACACAACAUGUGGAUUCAGUGAAUAUCAUUGCUUUUGCAUAGUAAAGAAGGCACUGGAAAAAAAAAAAAGGUCAUUAUAUAAUUAAAAGCUACUUGAUAACGUGCACACAAUGAAUUUUAACUUAAUUUGUACAUUCAUCCUUAAUGAUGGCAUUUCCUAACUGACAAUUACUAAGUCUUCCACUUCAUUAUUCCUUAAAUCAAAGGUUUGGUUUGAAUGUAUUUCUGCACUCUAAAAUACGCACAUAUCUCUAAACUGUCUAGCUCUCUGAAUUCAGACCAUGAACAGGUAGGAAAUAAUCAUGACCUACAAAUAAAUAAAAAAUUUAGAUAACCAAAUAUCUAACCAAAAUAUUCAAAAAGAGACAAAAUUAGUGGUUUAAACCCAGAAGACAUCAUGAACAUGAAAUAAAGAUUUUCAUGACAAAUGCACGGUGUGCAUGAUAACAUUAUGCCUAUGAGAGUUCAAAUGGCUGAUGACUUUCAAUCAGGAAGGAAGGCAAAAGGAUUUUGAAUAAACAACUUCAAUGUGAUAAUGGUACAUUACUAUUACAGGAAAAAAUGACAUAUUGGAAAUUGUUUUCUAAAUUAAAGUCUGUAAUCCUAUUUUUACUUGCUUUUACAUAACACUGAAGGUGUCUUAUUAUCAACAGGGUAAGAGCACUCAUUUUAAAAUCAACCAUGAUUUUAAGUGUUUUUCUUUGUCCUUGAAAUUGUGUAAAUAUGAUGGUUUGAACACACGCUCUUCAUCUCAACACUGAGAGCAAGAAGGAAGAAUUGUGGUGCUUACCAAGACUGGGGUUCAAAAAGGCUAAAGGGAAGCCCUGUAAUUUCUGCUAGUCACUUGGGGGCA
ensembl:lncRNA